CUGAUCCUUCCUUAGAUUUUGUAAGCCUGCACUUCCUUGUACCACAUGUGGAACACAUGGAGCAGCCUCAGCUUUCUGAGUCGGUACUUGGGGAGCAACAUCACCAGAUGUCGGAUGGCAAUAAAACUGUAUAGACCAUGGUUAUUUCUGCACAUGAUGAAUUGAGGAUCUCCACAGAGCACUUUGGAUGGAGAGAUUAAUUUAUAGGCCUAGAAACCAGCACACAAAUCCGCCAACCACCUGCAGCCUGGAAUAGGAACUGGAAAGUGGCUCGUUAGCAUCUUCAAGGAUGUAUGGAAGGUGGAGCCCUUGUUUUCAUCUCUGAAGGGGCUGUGGCCUUUGGAAUGAUUUGCACUCAUCAGAAAGGCACAAGAGCACUGACAUGGCUCAGAAGAAAUGAGGAAACCC
ensembl:lncRNA